rnacentral:rRNA from 1 species
UACAGAGGUCCCAAGCGUUGUUCGGAUUCACUGGGCGUAAAGGGUGCGUAGGCGGUCUGUCGCGUCGGCUGUGAAAACCUGGGGCUCAACUCCGGGCCUGCAGCCGAUACGGGCAGACUAGAAUUCGGUAGGGGAGACUGGAAUUCCUGGUGUAGCGGUGAAAUGCGCAGAUAUCGGGAGGAACACCUGUGGCGAAAGCGGCUCACUGGACCAUUACUGACGCUGAUGCUCGAAAGCUAGGGGAGCAAACAGG